rfam:Heterocephalus glaber contig53945, whole genome shotgun sequence.
AGAUGUGAAGGGGAUCUGGCUGCAAUCACCAGGCUGAUGCAGCUGAUCUACUUGGCUAGGUGGGCAUCCCCUUCCUCCCUCACUGUUCCAUGUGUAUCCCUCCUGAAGCUGCACCCCAGAUUGAAGAGGACCUUCUCUGAUAAAAGACCAUUCUUUACACAAGUGUAUACGAGUAGCUGCACUUCCUUGCCAAAAACUGUAAAUGAAAAACACCUCAUGAUGCAAAUACAUCAUCAACGCAGCACUAUGUAAUAUCCAGAGAGCAAUUUCAAUGUUUCCACCCUUUAAAUUUUCU